rnacentral:rRNA from 1 species
AGUUUGAUCAUGGCUCAGAAUGAACGUUGGCGGCGUGGAUUAGGCAUGCAAGUCGCACGAGAAGUUCUUUAUUGAAGCUUCGGCUGAUGUAUUGAACGGACAGUGGCGCAAGGGAGAGUAACGCGUGGAUAAUCUACCCUCAGACCAGGGAUAGCAGCGGGAAACUGCUGGUAAUACCUGAUAAUGUCUCCGGACCAAAGGUGUGAUUCCGUCUGAGGAUGAGUCCGCGUCCUACUAGCUUGUUGGUGAGGUAAUGGCUCACCAAGGCUUUGAUGGGUAGCGGGUGUGAGAGCAUGACCCGUCUCACUGGGACUGAGACACUGCCCAGACACCUACGGGUGGCUGCAGUCGAGAAUCUUCGGCAAUGGGGGAAACCCUGACCGAGCGACGCCGCGUGCGGGAUGAAGGCCUUCGGGUUGUAAACCGCUGUCAGUUGGGAGGAAAUGUUAUAGGGCUAUCCCUAUAACUUGACCUAUCUUCAGAGGAAGGACGGGCUAAGUUCGUGCCAGCAGCCGCGGUAAGACGAACCGUCCAAACGUUAUUCGGAAUUACUGGGCUUAAAGGGUGCGUAGGCGGUCUGGAAAGUUGGGUGUGAAAUCCCUCGGCUCAACCGAGGAAUAGCGCCCAAAACUUCCAGACUUGAGGGAGGUAGAGGUGAGCGGAACUUAAGGUGGAGCGGUGAAAUGCGUUGAUAUCUUAAGGAACACCGGUGGCGAAAGCGGCUCACUGGACCUCUUCUGACGCUGAGGCACGAAAGCUAGGGUAGCGAACGGGAUUAGAUACCCCGGUAGUCCUAGCCG